CUCACCUGCUGAGGUCGCUCACGAAACUGCCGCUCUUCUCAUCCAGGAAGCGCUUCCAGCCGUCGGCCGUCUUCACCCAGCUCUGCCCGGGGGACCGCCAGUCCUGCCCGAGGAAUGGCAUGGUACCUGGAUAAGGCGCACAGGGUUCUGCAUGAUGUCCUCUCCUCCAAAGAGAUAGAGUCUUUGGUCUUUCACGGCGACUGCGGGGUGGAGCACCCCCACGGGCAUGCUGGCCAUACUCUCCCAGACAUUGCAGAUGCUGUCAUACCUUUCCAUGGAGCCCAUGAGCUCCUGCCCUUCUCCAAUCCCCCCGAUGGAGAAGAUGAAGUUCUUAUGGGCAGUGCUUCUGUGGGAGUAGCGGGCCACCAGCAUGGGCUCCCCCAGCCUCCACUGAUUGAGUUUCAGGGAGAAGAUUGACAGCCAUGCCCCCCAGCACAUAGAUGCUGCGGUGCAAGGUGAUGGCAGAGGCCUUGUACAGCCGUGUCGGGAGUUUGGCAAGGCUCUGCCAUUGGCCGGUCUGUUUGCUGUACAGUAGGACGUCCCUGGUGGUCUGCUGGCUGUCCUUCCUUCCGCCCAAGAGGAUGAGGAAAUCUUGGUAAGAGUUUCUUGGAGGGACAUGCAACAAGAGUUUGCAGUCUGGGACGCUGGUGCCACACAAAGAGAACAUCUGUCUCUUGGCGGUCUCCAAGAUGAUCUGGCAUGCAGGCGAGGACUGCAGGAGGGCAUCGUUGGCGAUGAAGUGGUGAAAGAAGGCCGGGUGGAUGUACUGCAGCCUGACCUGCUUGAACAGUUCCUGCAUGUAUCGCUUCCGGGCCUGGAGGUCAUGCUUGAUCCAAACCAUGAGGGCCUCAAACACCUUUUCCUCCUCCCCACAGAGCCCAUCAUCUCCGAGAUAGUCCCUCAACUCCAAGGCACAGAGCUCCUUCAGGUCGGCCGAUGCGGCCACCUCUGGGAAGGACGUCAGUGCCACCUCCCUGGCUUUCUUCUUGAGGGUCUCGCAGCUUAAGAUUUCUGAGAGUCUGAUCAUGCCCAGGCAGUUGCUGGGGGCCAGCUGGCUCUGCAAGUACGAGGAGCAGGCCUCAAACAGCUUGGGGAACUGUAGCAUGGAGGCGGCCUCCAUCAUGGGGAGGACAUUGUCAGCUGCCUUUCAGCUGCACUUUGGCUUCACUCUUCUCCCGGAAGCUGCUGCAGAACAUAGCCCUGAAGUAGGGGCUGCUGGAGGCCAGCACGUUGCGGUGGCAGGGGAUCUCCCAGGCACCGGCACAGAUGCUCACAUCAGUCAGGAUCCUGCUUUGCCUUAAGCUGUUGAGCUGCCUCAACAAGUCGGAAGAGAAGUCGUGGUCUUUGAAGAGCAGCCCAUCUGGUGACUCCUCGUCCAUCCUACAAAGA
rnacentral:lncRNA from 1 species